rnacentral:lncRNA from 1 species
AGAAAGCCUGAGAAACCCUGAGAGACCCCACAAACACGGGAGAACGUGGGCUGCCUCCGUGAAUUGAACCGAGAACCUUCUUGCUGUGAGGCGACGGUGCUACCCACUACAACACCAUGCCGCCCUCCUCUGUAAAUGUCCUAUCUAAAUUGAUAUUUAUACAUCUCUUAGAUCAUUGAGUGCUAUCUUCACCACACUGCAGCGAGACUUAAUUUGGUACCAUGUACAUUCUCAACCAUUACACUGCCAGUGUGAUCCUUUUUGAGGGGAGAGAAGCAGCAAGAAGGCACAGCCUGUCAAGGUACGUUGAUGCAGACCAAAGUAAGGCCUAUCUUGUGGAUCCUGCAAAAAGUGCCAAAGAACUGGUAGAGUCGGAGCAAGCAGCGAAAAGACUGCGUAACUAUUUCAACAUAAGAAGGGCAUGCCACAGCAAAACUGACUGGGUGGAUAAAAAAUGGAAGUAGGCCAUUAUGCAUCACCCAGGUCAGAAAGAUAGCAGUAGCUGUGGGGUCAUUGUGAUUAUGAUGGCCAGGUUAGUGAUGGAGGCCUUCCCAAAUAUGCCAAGUAUGGACUUCAAAACGACAAGAAAACAAAUGGCACAAGAACGCACAAACAUAGCUUGUGAGAUAUUACACGCUUCUGUGUUCAACACAGACAGUAACUGUGCUAUGUGCUCAACCACAAAGCCACCAGGAUCAGGACCAGCCUUUACAGACUGGGCAAAGUACUGUUUUUGUUUUCAGCAACAGAGGCUUGUUAUGAUUGUGUUUUCUGUAGUGUUUAAAUAUUACAACAUGCAAGAAUUGGAACAGAGGGGGCAAUAACUGUGAUAAAACAAACAUAGAAAUAGUAAUGCGUUUGAUGAGAACAAAUAACGAUUUCAUUCUAAUGCUAUACAAUGGUCAUUCAUGUGCCCUUUUACAGAUACAGUGUGAUGGCUGUUGCCGGUGGUAUCACGCACAGUGCCUCAAACUAGAUAAAGACACCCUUAAAAAAGCAGCAAGUGAAGACUGGAAUUGCUGUCUUUGUACAUAAUUCAUUAGCCAUGAAAAACUAACAGGAUGUAUCCUAUCUGUCUUACCGCAUUUCUCAUUUUUGCAUAAAGUUGUAUUUGUGUUCCACACAAAUGUUGCACUGAACUAUGCACCAAAGUCAAGUUCUUAAUCAUCAAAGUUGACUUUUUACAGUAUGACAUAGUACUUUCAAUUACUGCUAAAAGGUAAACUAUACAGUAAAAGUACACAGGUCUUUGUGUGGUGAUAGUACACCUCUAGCAGAAUAAGGAGAAAGUGGUCUGGACCUGGAACUAUGCACCAAAGUCAAGUUAUUAAUCAUCAAAAUUGACUAUAAUGCCAAUACGCUACUACAAUAGGACAUGGUAGUUUUGAAUACUAAUAAAUCCUAAACUAUAGAGUAACA